GACAGCAGCCAUAUCGCCCUGCAGCCCAAGACUGGUUGCCCACUGAAGUUAAGUAGGGUUGAGCCUGGUCAGUACUUGGAUGGGAGACCUCCUGGGAAAACUAGGUUGCUGCUGGAA
rnacentral:rRNA from 1 species